AAUCGACUAAUCUUGGUUCAAUAAAUGAAAAGGAAGGUUGGUUCUUUUAGUUCAUCUCAAAUCAGCACAUGCUCGGGUAAAAGUUAAGAAGGUUGAUUUGGAUGGGCUUGUAGUCAUUGUUGGAGUGAACUCGAAUACGUAUGGUUGCAUACAUGCUGGUAGAGAACUUCAGAAGUUUCAACAGCAAGUACAAAGUGUGCAUUGGUGUUGAUAAGUAAAUACGAGUACAACAUAUUCAUAUGUGAUUUCGCAAGGUUCGAUUAAUGCACCAAUGUUUUCAUGGAAAGGUUCAUCAAUGGUGCAAUCCAAAUACCUUCUUUCUUUUAUAUAUAUAUAUAUAGGGUAAUAAUCAAAUACAAAUCAUUUUAUAAU